AUUGACCGCUAGCGGGAUGCCUUACACCUGCAAGUCGAACGGAGUGGCGAACGGGUGAGUAAUGUAUCGGAACGUGCCCAGUAGCGGGGGCUAACUACGCGAAAGCGUAGCUAAUACCGCAUACUAUUGGCGCGGCCGCUAUCUGAUGAGCUAGUUGGUGGGGUAACGGCUCACCAAGGCGACGAUCCGUAGCUGGUUUGAGAGGACGAACCGCCAAACUGUGACUGAGAAACGGUCCAGACUCCUACGGGAGGCAGCAGUGGGGAAUUUUGGACAAUGGGUGAAACCCUGCUCCAGCCAUCCCGCGUGUGCGAUGAAGGCCUUCGGGUGGUAAAGCACUUUUGGCAGGAAAGCGGUACCUGCAGAAUAAGCAACGGCUAACUACGUGCCAGCAGCCGCGGUAAUUC
rnacentral:rRNA from 1 species